GAAAAAAAACCGAAAGUAACUGCUGCAUCGCUCGCAUCGCCCGGCAUCUCGCCCGCCACAUCCCAGAUCUCCCGUCCCCGCCCCGCAUCUCGCCCGCCAGCGACCGGCGAGGGGGCGCGCGCCCGCCGCCGCCGCGAUGUACCUGGCGUACGGGUGGCCGCAGUCGAUCCCGCUGGACCCGGACAACUCGGACCGCGUGGUCCUCCUCCGCUUGCUCGGCCGCUUCCUCCUCGCCGUCUGCCCGGCCUCGCUCCACCUCUGGUCCGCCGCACAACACCGGGUCCGCCUCGCCCGCUCCGACCGCUCUCCGGAGUCUCUCUCCGCCCACGGCUACAACGCGCACGCCGUGUGGAGCCCCGACGCCAAGACCGUCGCUGUCCUGACCUCUUCCUUCUACCUCUACGUUUACAAGGUUCAGCACUUGGGGAAGCAACUGAUCGUCGGUGGCAAGCAGGUCCCGGGGCUUUGCCUGGCUAGCAUAUCCCUAAUCAUCACCGAGAAGGUUCCUCUCGCCAAUGGCGUUGCUAUAACGAGCAAUUUCGUGUGUGACAACAAAAGCAUGCUCCUCGGACUAUCCAACGGGCAUGUGCAGGUCAUGUCCUGGAACGCUGAGUUCUCAGACAGCUUCAAGCUUGGUUGCUCUGUGUGUUCGUCUGAGAAACCUACUGCUGUCAUAGAUGCGUUGGUGUUUGAUCCUGCCAGUUUGCGAGAUAACACUAACGCAAGGCCUGCUCCUUGCUGCACAGGCAAUUCUUCUAUUGUCCAUGUUGAGCUGUCGGUGAAGCUAAGGUUGCUGGUUGCUUUGUACUCAGGCUGUCGCAUUGCCCUCUGUACUAUUGGUAAGAAGGGAUUGAGGCAGCCUGGCAGCAUCAGAGUGGAGAGAUGGUUGGACACUGAUGAUGCGAUGUGUACUUCUGUGGCUUCUGAGCAACAGAUUCUUGCUGUUGGGUGCAGUAGAGGUGUUGUUGAAUUGUAUGAUCUUGCAGAAAACACACGGCAUAUACGAACCAUUUCGUUGUAUGAUUGGGGGUAUUCAGUGGAAGAUACCGGGCCUGUUGCUUGUAUAUCUUGGACGCCUGACAAUUGUGCUUUCGCAGUUGGGUGGAAAUUUAGGGGACUUACUGUAUGGUCUGUGUCUGGAUGUCGGUUGAUGUGUACUAUUCGUCAAACUGGUUCAAAUUCUGCCUCAUCUCCUAUGGUGAAACGUUGCACUCUAAAAUUUGAGCCUCUAAUGGGAGGAACAUCACACAUUCAAUGGGAUGAUAAUGGAUAUAAGUUAUUUGCUGUCGAAGAAAACUUGUCAGAAAGGGUUCUUGCUUUCUCAUUUGCCAAAUGUUGCCUAAACAGAGGGCUUUCGGGCACAACAUAUUCCCAUCAGGUUCUUUAUGGGGAUGAUCGAAUCCUUUUGGUGCAACCGGAUGAUGCUGAUGAACUGAAGAUAUUGCAUCUUAAUGUUCCAAUUUCAUACAUUUCCCAGAACUGGCCACUUCUACAUGUGGUGGCAAGCAAUGAUGGGAUGUACUUGGCAGUUGCUGGCUCUCACGGGCUAGUGCUAUAUGAUUUGCGAAAUAAAAGGUGGCGUUUUUUUGGCGAUGUUACACAAGAGCAAAAGAUCCAAUGCAAAGGCCUAUUGUGGCUGAGAAAAAUUGUUAUUGUGUGCAACUAUGUUGAAACGUCAAACACGUACGAGCUUCUCUUUUUCCCAAGAUAUCAUCUUGAUUAUAGCUCUUUACUCUACCGAAAACCACUGCUUGGAAGGCCAAUUGUCAUGGAUGUUUUCCAGGAUUAUAUAUUAGUUACUUACAGUCCAUUUGAUGUACAUAUCUUCCAUGUGAUGAUCUCAGGAGAAUUAUCGCCUUCUAGCAAUCCAGUUUUACAGCUUUCAACAGUGCGAGAACUUUCAAUCAUGAGUCCAAAGAGUCCACCUGUUUCAAUGCGCUUCAUUCCUGAACAAAAUGACAAAGAAGUGCUGAAGCGAGAUACUAAUGAAUCUUAUGAUCUUUUGUCCCAGCAACCAUCAAGAUGUUUGAUCUUGCGGACCAAUGGGGAGCUUUCUGUGCUUGACAUGGACGAUGGACAUGAACACGCUCUUACAAAUUCAAUUGAACUCUUUUGGGUCACCUGUUCCCAGUUUGAAGAGAAGGGUAGUCUUAUCAAAGAGGUUUCAUGGCUUGACUAUGGUCAUCAGGGUAUGCAGGUGUGGUACCCAUCACAUGGAGCAGGUCCUUUUAAGCAAGAGGAUUUUUUGCAGCUGGAUCCGGAGCUUGAGUUUGAUCGCGAGGUGUAUCCUCUUGGUCUUCUUCCAAACGUUGGUGUGGUUGUUGGUGUUUCCCAGAGGAUGUCCUUCUCAACUGCGGAGUUUCCAUGCUUUGAGCCUUCACCUCAAGCCCAAACAAUAUUGCAUUGUUUAUUACGACAUCUCCUUCAGAGGGACAAGAUUGAUGAAGCUUUGCGCUUGGCAAAUUUGUCAGCAGAAAAACCUCACUUCUCUCACUGUCUAGAGUGGCUUCUGUUUACAGUAUUUGAUGCAGAUAUAUCAAGGCCAAGUGCUUCAAAAAAUCAGGCUUCACAAAAAGUUGAUUCUCCCAAGAAUUCUCUUCUUGAGAAAACUUGUGACCUGCUACGGAACUUUCCUGAAUAUAUGGAUGUUGUAGUCAGUGUUGCUAGGAAAACUGAUGGUCGACACUGGGCUGAUCUUUUCUCUACAGCUGGACGAUCCACAGAGAUGUUUGAGGAAUGCUUCCAACAGAGGUGGUACAGGACUGCUGCUUGCUACAUACUGGUCAUUGCUAAGCUGGAGGGCCCUGCAGUCAGCCAGUAUUGUGCACUCCGUUUGCUACAAGCUACACUUGAUGAGUCUUUGUAUGAGCUUGCUGGGGAGUUGGUUCGCUUCUUGCUAAGAUCUGGAAGAGAUUUUGAGAAUGCCACUCCAGACUCCGAGAAGCUCUCUCCAAGAUUUCUAGGCUAUUUUCUGUUCCGUUCGCCAUAUAAGAGGCAAUCUUCUGAUUUGAGAAGUAACUCAAUGAAAGAACUUAGUCCACAUAUUGCUUCUGUUAUGAACAUUCUAGAGCGUCAUGCUAGCUAUUUGAUGUCUGGCAAGGAGCUUUCUAAACUCGUUGCUUUUGUCAAGGGGACUCAAUUUGAUCUUGUGGAAUAUCUACAACGAGAAAGGCAAGGGUCUGCUCGUCUAGAGAAUUUUGCUUCUGCACUCGAACUGAUUGGACAAAAGGUUCUGGUCAAUAUAUCACAAAGUUUUAUGGUUUAUUCUGCUUAUCGGUGUAAAUUUAUUACAUCUGCUCCAAAUGGAUACACUGCAAAGUCGACUUGAUGCAGAGUUCCUUCUAGCUCAUAUGUGUUCAGUCAAGUUUAAGGAAUGGAUCGUGGUGCUAGCUACUUUAUUGCGGCGUGCAGAGGUUUUGGUGGAUCUCUUUAGGCAUGAUUUGCGAUUGUGGAAAGCAUAUAGCAUUACUCUACAGUCACAUGAUGUAUUCACAGAAUAUCUUGACCUUCUUAAUAUCUUGGAGGAGGAGCUUUCAUCUGUCUCUGAUCUUACAUUGCAAAAUGGACCAUUGUCAUGAAUGCUGGACAAUGACACUGAUUGGAAAAACAGCUGAAUGCGGCGUUUUAACCUUGAGUUAAUUAACACAUACAGUUUGAUGAGAUCUGCGGUGGGGCCAGGAAUCUGAUGUAAAUAGAUUAUUCAGGGGGUUUUUCCCUUUGAGCAACACCCCGGAGGCGCUAUGACAGCUAUUUGUGCAGUGAUCAGCUAAGCACCUAUUGUUGUAUUAUUUGUUUGUUGCAGCAGAGUUGAAUGUGCAUUCUUCGCCUUAUGGAGGAGGAAUUUAUACAUUGUGGGGUUGCCUUCCCCUGCCCUUUGGCAGGUUAGUGAAGUGUGCCCUAGAGGAAAGUGGCAUGUUUGAGAGCAAUUAGAUUGGAGGGGGCUAAAAUCCCCUUUGUUAUUUAAAAUUAAAUAGAAGAGGAAUUUAGCCUCUCGGAUCCCCUCAAGUCCCCUGUAUCCCAAACAAACCCUUGAAGUGUUUUCUACAGCUUUAGGAAAUGUGGUUUACUUCUAUGGUAGGUACAUGGGCAACCAAUGUAUAUACAUUUAUUUUUACAGCAUCCUGGCCCCGUUCAUCCACAACGUGUUGCACAUGUCUAGCCUCUCCAUUGCAAGGGCGUACAGAUAUGUAUAUAAAAAUCUACACAAUGCAUGCGCAUGCACCGGAGUGUAUCUGUAUCGACCAUGAAAGGUUUGGUACAAGUCUGAAAAAGUA